rnacentral:lncRNA from 1 species
ACAGAGUCUCUCCUGUUGCCCAGGCUGGAGUACAGCCGCGCAAUCUCAGCUCACUGCAACUUCUGCCUCCCAGGUUCAAUAGAAUCUCCUGCCUCAGCCUCCCAAGUAGCUGGGAUUACAUGCAUGUGCCACCACGCACGGCUAGAGAACUAUUGAUGAGAUGAAGUGAUGCAUCUUCAAGUUAACUAGUACCUGUCUGUUCUUCUACAUUGUACAUUAGAUAACUCACCAACUCCUCAGAAGACUGAAGCCUCAGCAGUCCCCAUGAGUCCCUACAGCCACAAUAAAUUGAAUUCUGCCAAAAAUCUUAAUAAGCUUGGAAGAAGACCUUCAGCUCCUGAUGAGAACCCAGCCAGAAACAAGAUGAGAACCCAGAAACAAGAUUUUCAUCUUAUUUCAACCUGAGCAGAGAACCCAGAGGAGCCCUGGCCAGAUUUUUGGUCUACAGGAUUGAGAAGACACCUGCCUGAGGGUCUUAUAGCUAAUGGACUGCAGAAGACUUGAGUCAUCAUUCAAAUUCAGUAGCCAUCCUCUGAUGUCCAGUUGAAGAUUGGUGAUUCCAGAAUAGCUCGCAUUGCCCCAGUUGACUUGCCACACAGCUUCUUUCAGGACUUGAAAAUGUCCUAGCCACCCCCAUCUUACCUCCUACUUCCAAUGCCUUUUAAGAUAGAAAA